rnacentral:rRNA from 1 species
UACGUAGGGUGCGAGCGUUAAUCGGAAUUACUGGGCGUAAAGUGUGCGCAGGCGGCACCGCAAGUCGAGUGUGAAAGCCCCGGGCUUAACUUGGGAAUUGCGCUCGAAACUAUGGUGCUGGAGUGUGGCAGAGGAAGGUGGAAUUCCAGGUGUAGCGGUGAAAUGCGCAGAUAUCGGGAGGAACACCAAUGGCGAAGGCAGCUCGCUGGGACGGUACUGACGCUGAGACGCGAAAGCGUGGGGAGCAAACAGG